GCCGCUGUGGCGAAACUGGUAUACGCGCCUGACUUAAGAUCAGGUGGGAGAAAUCCCGUGUCGGUUCGACUCCGACCGGCGGCA
rnacentral:tRNA from 1 species